rnacentral:rRNA from 2 species
UCCCUAAAUAGGGACUAGUAUGAACGGCUAAAUGAGGACCUUACUGUCUCUUGCUGCCAGUCAAUGAAACUGAUCUCCCAGUCCAAAAGCUGGAAUAACUCCAUAAGACAAAAAGACCCUGUGGAGCUUUAAAACCAAAACCACCUACAAUUGUCCACUUGGUUUUUAGUUGGGGCGACUUCGGAGCAAAGACAAACCUCCGAAACAAUGGACCUCACCAUAUCAAGGCCAACACGCCAAAAUAACCAAAACUUGACCCAGACCUUAAUUUCUGACCAAUGAACCAAGUUACCCCAGGGAUAACAGCGCCAUCUUCUUUUAGAGUCCCUAUCGACAAGAAGGUUUACGACCUCGAUGUUGGAUCAGGACACCCCAAUAGUGCAGCCGCUAUUAAAGGUUCG